rnacentral:rRNA from 1 species
GAUGAACGCUGGCGGCGUGCUUAACACAUGCAAGUCGAACGGAAAGGCUCCUGCUUGCAGGGGUACUCGAGUGGCGAACGGGUGAGUAACACGUGGGUGAUCUGCCCUGCACUUCGGGAUAAGCCUGGGAAACUGGGUCUAAUACCGGAUAGGACCACAUUUUGGAUGGUGUGGUGGAAAGUUUUUCGGUGUGGGAUGAGCUCGCGGCCUAUCAGCUUGUUGGUGGGGUAAUGGCCUACCAAGGCGUCGACGGGGAGCCGGCCUGCGAGGGUGUACGGCCACAUUGGGACUGAGAUACGGCCCAGACUCCUACGGGAGGGAGCAGGGGGGAAUAUUGCACAAUGGGCGCAAGCCUGAGGCAGCGAGGCCGCGUGGGGGAUGACGGCCUUCGGGUUGUAAGCUCCUUUCGCUAGGGACGAAGCGUUUUUGUGACGGUACCUAGAGAAGAAGCACCGGCUAACUACGUG